GGACCUGUAGCUCAGCUGGUUAGAGCACACGCCUGAUAAGCGUGAGGUCGGUGGUUCAAGUCCACUCGGGUCCACCA
rnacentral:tRNA from 3 species